AUUGAACGCUGGCGGCAGGCCUAACACAUGCAAGUCGAGCGGAUGAAGGGAGCUUGCUCCUGGAUUCAGCGGCGGACGGGUGAGUAAUGCCUAGGAAUCUGCCUGGUAGUGGGGGAUAACGUCCGGAAACGGGCGCUAAUACCGCAUACGUCCUGAGGGAGAAAGUGGGGGAUCUUCGGACCUCACGCUAUCAGAUGAGCCUAGGUCGGAUUAGCUAGUUGGUGGGGUAAAGGCCUACCAAGGCGACGAUCCGUAACUGGUCUGAGAGGAUGAUCAGUCACACUUGAACUGGGACACGGUCCAGACUCCUACGGGAGGCAGCAGUUGGGAAUAUUGGACAAUGGGCGAAAGCCUGAUCCAGCCAUGCCGCGUGUGUGAAGAAGGUCUUCGGAUUGUAAAGCACUUUAAGUUGGGAGGAAGGGCAGUAAGUUAAUACCUUGCUGUUUUGACGUUACCAACAGAAUAAGCACCGGCUAACUUCGUG
rnacentral:rRNA from 1 species